UUGAAUUUGAAUCUGCCAUUUUGAGGUUAGAAAAAAGCAUCCUCAACUAUUAACUCUCCUUCGGCUCGGCCAUAACAGAUCAAUAGUUCAGGAUUACGCAUUUGUAGUAUGAUAUAUCCAUGUUUUAUAUAUUCAAAAUGAAGUUAUGAUAGCUACCUGUGAGAAGGAUUUUACGCAGCAGCAUCUGAUGGUAGUUUGUAUUACUUCUAGCUGCGUAGUAGAUGACAUCAUCAGACAGGUCUGAACCUGUUCAAGGUCACGGUAACUGCGUAGUUCUCUUUGUUCUAUUUCUAACUGCGUAGUAGAUGACGUCAUCAAUCCGGUUUUGAGGUAGAGGAGUGGGGUUAACUGCGCAGUAUUUUCUGUCUAUAUAAGCAGUUCGCCGAGAGCGUACUUCACACAAACGAAGUACACGUCUCCAGUGAAGUACCAGUUUGACGGCAGGCAAUAGUGAAGUACGAGUUCUUGGUGAUAUACAUCUUCUACCUAUCAGUAUUACUAAUUCUAUCAAUCAUGGAUCUUACCAAGAUAAAUGAGGUUAAUUGUCUUACUGGGGUUCUUCCUGUUAAAAAAAUGAUCGAGUUGGAGUUUAAUCGAGAAUAUAAGAUUAACGGUAUCAAAGCUAUUACAAAUCAGUAUGGGACUAGGAUUGUUGUCAAUAUAAACGAUGAAUUUAACAUUUAUUUACCAUCUAGAACUAUUCAACAUCUAAAAGAUGAUAACUUCAUUAAGAGUUUGAAUGAAUUAAUAGAUUCAAACUACCUGUUUCUGCGUUUCCUAGGUGGAAAAUAUAAUAAAUUUGAAUUUAUUAAUUCUAGUCUUGAUGUAAAAAUGACCAGUGGAAUUAUUUAAUCAAUAAAAUAUUGUAUUUCAAUAUAAAUAA